AUUGAACGCUGGCGGCAUGCCUUACACAUGCAAGUCGAACGGCAGCAUGAUCUAGCUUGCUAGAUUGAUGGCGAGUGGCGAACGGGUGAGUAAUACAUCGGAACGUGCCCUGUAGUGGGGGAUAACUAGUCGAAAGAUUAGCUAAUACCGCAUACGACCUGAGGGUGAAAGUGGGGGACCGCAAGGCCUCAUGCUAUAGGAGCGGCCGAUGUCUGAUUAGCUAGUUGGUGAGGUAAAGGCUCACCAAGGCGACGAUCAGUAGCUGGUCUGAGAGGACGAUCAGCCACACUGGGACUGAGACACGGCCCAGACUCCUACGGGAGGCAGCAGUGGGGAAUUUUGGACAAUGGGCGAAAGCCUGAUCCAGCAAUGCCGCGUGUGUGAAGAAGGCCUUCGGGUUGUAAAGCACUUUUGUCCGGAAAGAAAUGGCUCUGGUUAAUACCUGGGGUCGAUGACGUACCGGAAGAUAA
rnacentral:rRNA from 1 species